AGAGUUUGAUCAUGGCUCAGAUUGAACGCUGGCGGCACGCUUAACACAUGCAAGUCGAACGGUAGCAUGUUGCAGUUUUUCGGAGCUGUGAUGAUGACGAGUGGCGGACGGGUGAGUAACGCGUAGGAACCUGCCUUGUAGACUGGAAUAACACGGGGAAACUCGUGCUAAGGCCGGAUACGCUGUAUGUUUGAGAGGAC
rnacentral:rRNA from 1 species